ACUCAAAUGAAUUGACGGGGGAGCGCACAAGCAGUGGAGCAUGUGGUUUAAUUCGACGCUACGCGAAGAACCUUACCCACUCUUGACAUCCCGAGAACCCGCUGGAGACAGUGGGGUGCCCGGAAGGGAGCUCGGUGACAGGUGUUGCAUGGCCGUCGUCAGCUCGUGUCGUGAGAUGUUGGGUUAAGUCCCGCAACGAGCGCAACCCUUGUUGGGUGUUGUAUUUUUCACCCGAGACUGCCGGUGACAAAUCGGAGGAAGGUGGGGAUGACGUCAGGUCAGCAUGGCCCUUACGAGUGGGGCUACACACGUGCUACAAUGGCCGCCACAACGAGUCGCGAAACUGCAAAGUUGAGCUAAUCUCACAAAAGCGGUCCCAGUUCGGAUAAGAGGCUGCAAUUCGCCUCUUUGAAGUCGGAAUUGCUAGUAACCGUGGGUCAGCACACCGCGGUGAAUACGUUCCCGCUCCUUGUACACACCGCCCGU
rnacentral:rRNA from 1 species